GAUAUUGGUCAAUAGCCUAACGGCUGAACCAGCAACUUGGGUGAAUGCUAUUUAGUAUAAUAAAGGAGGCUUAGAUGUUUCCUAUUUAUAUUAAAUAUUCAAAUUUUGAAUAUAGUUCUAGAUAAAAUAUUGAUAAUGACAAAGUUUUAUCUACAUGUCUUGACCAAAUCUUGUGCCAGCAGUCGCGGCAACACAAGGAAGACUAGUGUUAUUCAUCUUGAAUCGGUUUAACGGGUACCUAGACGGUAAAUUAGGCCUUAACUGGAACGUUUUUACUAGAGUUAUAUAUGCGUGAGGAAUAUGAAGUAUUACCAGAGUAGAGAUAGAAUUUUUUGAUACUGUUAAGACUGGUAAAGGCAAAAGCAAACCUUUAUAUAUUAACUGACGUUGAGGGACGAAGGCUUGGGUAGCAAACAGGAUUAGAUACCCUAAUAGUCCAGGCAGAGAAUUAUGAAUGUCAUAGAUUAUAUUAAAUAUAUUCUAUAAAUGAAAGUGUAAGCAUUCCACCUCAAGAGUAAUGUGGCAACGCAGGAACUGAAAUCAUUAGACCGUUUCUGAUACCAGUAGUGAAGUAUGUUAUUUAAUUUGUUAACCCUCAAAAAAUCUUACCACAAUUUGAAUAUAUAUAAUAUAUAUAAAUAUUUAUUUAUAUCUUUAUUUAUACAAGCGUUGCAUUGUUGUCUUCAGUUGAUGUUGUGAGAUUUUGGUUAGAUUCAUAAAAUCGACGUAAUCCCAUAUUCUAUUUAAAUAUUAAUAGAUUAGUUCACCGUAAUAUUGGAUAUUGAUAAAAGGGAGCAAGACAAGUCGUAAUGACCUUAAUAUUGUGGGCUA
rnacentral:rRNA from 1 species